CAGUGGCGCGAAGCUACCGUG
rnacentral:siRNA from 1 species